rnacentral:rRNA from 1 species
UACGAAGGGGGCUAGCGUUGUUCGGAAUUACUGGGCGUAAAGGGCUCGUAGGCGGCCAACUAAGUCAUACGUGAAAUCCCUCGGCUUAACCGGGGAACUGCGUCUGAUACUGGAUGGCUUGAGUUCGGGAGAGGGAUGCGGAAUUCCAGGUGUAGCGGUGAAAUGCGUAGAUAUGACUUAGAACACCGAUUGCGAAGGCAGCUAACUAAGCAGAUAUUGACGCUGAGGCACGAAAGCGUGGGGAUCAAACAGG